GACGAACCGUGCGAACGUUGUUCGGAAUCACUGGGCUUAAAGGGCGCGUAGGCGGAUGACCAAGUCAGGGGUGAAAGCCCGCAGCUCAACUGAGGAACUGCCUUUGAAACUGUACGCUUGAGGCCGGGAGGGGGUAGCGGAAUUCCCAGUGUAGCGGUGAAAUGCGUAGAUACUGGGAGGAACACCAGUGGCGAAGGCGGCUACCUGGACCGGUUCUGACGCUGAGGCGCGAAAGCGUGGGUAGCAAACAGG
rnacentral:rRNA from 1 species